rfam:Pseudomonas sp. Bc-h sc_007, whole genome shotgun sequence.
CGCUAGGUUUUUUCCAGAUAAAAAGCGUGAGGAAUUGCACGGAACACUUUCAAAGCAAAGAAUUUUAUGCGGUUCUUGCGCUUAGUCCGUUUACUUACUACAAACAAUGGGUAGUAUGUACGCCGGUCAUUUUCUCAUUUUCGAGAGA